GCCUUUGCACUGUCCGUGCAGAGCUUGAUGUGGGGCUUGAACUUACUAAGAGUUCAAGUGAGAUCCUGACCUGAGCUGAAAUCAAGAGUCAGACGUUUGAGUGACUGAGCCACCAGGUGCCUCUUUCACAAACAUUCUAAUCUUACCUCAGCUGAACUGAGGCACUGAGCUCAGGUGAGGGGAGACCACAGAAAGGAAGCUGCUUCUGUUACCCCACCGUCCUCCGUGUAGUGGGUGCUUCUGUACAGAUGGGGGCUUGAUGUUUAGGUCACAGGGAGUCCUCUGCCGGGAUCUAAUGCCUUUCAGGAGCAUUUUGUUAGACAUUAGUGGAGGUAAGUGUUGGUAGCAUCAGUUAGAAAAAGUGAGGUCAAGGGAAACUGAAUUAGUUGACUCUUGACUACUUCCUGGGUCGCAGGUCAUAGGGAACUUCCUGGAUCUAAACCCAGAUGUAAGGAGUCUGAGUUCAAAUUUCAGAUCCCUCAACCAGUUUACUGGACACAAGCAUCCUGAGGAGAGGAGAGUAUGACAAAGGAGAUGCUGCACAUGGGCGACAUAUGAGAGAUCUGUGACAACUGCUUCCCCCUGGGAUCCAUGCUGGGUCCCUUCUUAUCUUCUCAUUUUGAGGAACCGCUGAUCGUAAGGUGUCACAAACUAGGGCCCCUGGGCCAAAUCCAGUCUGCCACCCAGUUUCGAAAUGAAGGCCUUAUUGAAACGGAGCCACACUCACUCCUUUAGGUACUAAGACUGUUUUGCACUACAAUUGUAGAGGAUUAAUUUCUAGAGAUGGAAUUUUUGUCACAAGGUGCUGUAAUCAGCUGAGGAUUUGCCUAUAUCAUUUUAGAGACAAGGGAACCAAGAUCUAGACUGUGCAGUUGAGUGAAACCAAGAUCUGCCGUGUAGUUGAGUUGCCCAAGUUCAUACCAUUAACGUCAGGACUAAAGUUAGAACCAGACUCCUUGACUUCCAAUCUGGUUUAUUUACUUAAGCAAUCUCUUCACCCCACUUGGGGCUCGAACUCACAACCCUGAGAUCAAGAGCUGCAUGUCCAACCAACUAGGCCAGCCAGGCACCCCUGUCCAUUUUCUUUUAAGACAUUUCUUGAUGGCUACUAAGAUGCCAAGGUGCUCAGUAUUUUAUGAUGUGCCUUUUCAUUUACUGAGGAAAUUUCUUUUCCCUCUACGCAUCCAAGUACCAGGGUUUCUAAUAGCUUGCAACAGCAGUAUCAUCUUGUUACCUUGCUAGAAAUGCAGAAUUUUGGGUCCUAUCUGAAUCUAAUGAAACAGCAUUUUAACAGACAUUUUAAAAUCCCAGGGUGGUUUACAGGCACACUAAUAUUUGAGAACUAUUGUUCUAAAACAUUUGGGUCAUCUUUCCUACAACAUGAUACCCACUGAUUUUUUUUUUUUUUGGACUGUCACGUCAGAGGGAAAUAAAAACAUGUAUUUAACACCCUGAGUUGAAUUGAUGGAUAACACUUUUCCCAAAAACAUGACUACAUAGUUCCUGGGCAGCCAUUAUAAGUUGGUCCAGAAGUAAAACAAUAAUAUGCUUACGGAUUUUUUUUUUUUUUUUUUGUCUCUGGAAACCCAUUUCUACCACAAAAGCCACAAAUUUGCUCAGAAAACAAAGGAACACAAUAUGAAACAGAAAUAAAAAAUUUUUAGGUUAUUAGGAAAAAAGUUUAUUUGGUAAAACCAAACAUCUUUUAUUGUCUUUUGAGGAUAUUUCUGUAGGGACUGUGUUGAAAAUAUAUCCUAAAACACACAUCCAGUGAAGUUAAGAACAUAAUACAGAUUUUCCCCUCCCCGCCUCCUAACAAAUCUUUGUUUUAUGAA